CUUCGGGAACUCUGAGACAGGUGCUGCAUGGCUGUCGUCAGCUCGUGUUGUGAAAUGUUGGGUUAAGUCCCGCAACGAGCGCAACCCUUAUCCUUGUUUGCCAGCGAGUAAUGUCGGGAACUCCAGGGAGACUGCCGGUGAUAAACCGGAGGAAGGUGGGGACGACGUCAAGUCAUCAUGGCCCUUACGAGUAGGGCUACACACGUGCUACAAUGGCGCAUACAGAGGGCGGCCAACUUGCGAAAGUGAGCGAAUCCCAAAAAGUGCGUCGUAGUCCGGAUUGGAGUCUGCAACUCGACUCCAUGAAGUCGGAAUCGCUAGUAAUCGUGGAUCAGAAUGCCACGGUGAAUACGUUCCCGGGCCUUGUACACACCGCCCGUCACACCAUGGGAGUGGGCUGCAAAAGAAGUGGGUAGUUUAACCUUCGGGAGGACGCUCACCACUUUGUGGUUCAUGACUGGGGUGAAGUCGUAACAAGGUAGCGCUAGGGGAACCUGGCGCUGGAUCACCUCCUUAUACGAUGAU
rnacentral:rRNA from 1 species